CCUACGGGUGGCAGCAGUCGAGAAUCAUUCACAAUGGGGGAAACCCUGAUGGUGCGACGCCGCGUGGGGGAAUGAAGGUCUUCGGAUUGUAAACCCUUGUCAUGUGGGAGCAAAUUAAAAAGAUAGUACCCCAAGAGGAAGCGACGGCUAACUCUGUGCCAGCAGCCGCGGUAAUACAGAGGGCUCAAGCGUUGUUCGGAAUCACUGGGAGUAAAGCGUGCGUAGGCUGUUUCGUAAGUCGGGUGUGAAAGGCGCGGGCACAACCCGCGGACGGCACAUGAUACUGCAUGACUAGAGUGAUGGAGGGGGAAGCGGAAUUCUCGGUGUAGCAGUGAAAUGCGUAGAUAUCGGGAGGAACACUCGUGGCGAAGGCGGGUUCCUGGACAUUAACUGACGCUGAGGCACGAAGGCCAGGGGAGCGAAAGGGAUUAGAUACCCCAGUAGUC
rnacentral:rRNA from 1 species